rnacentral:ncRNA from 1 species
UUUUUGUUUAGUUAAUUUCNAUUNNAAAAUUUGUUUACUAAAGGGAAGCUUGUUGGAAUCAGGCACAGUCCCCGCUACUGUAUUUGUAGAAUACUAAUUUUUAAUUGCCAUUUCCANAUUUGGAGAGAAGGUAAAAUUAGAUGACACUACAUAAGUCAGGAAACCUUNGUGANUUAAAUCACAAUC